ACCUGGCUGGCUCAGUUGGAGGAGCAUGCGACUCUUGAUCUCUGGGUUGUGAGUUCAAUCCCCAUGUUGGGUG
rnacentral:tRNA from 1 species